UUUGACUCAACACGGGAAAACUUACCAGGUCCGAACAUAAGCGUCUAAGAGAGAUUGGCAGGUCUUUCUCGAAUCUAUGGGUGGUGGUGCAUGGCCGUUCUUAGUUCGUGCAGUGAUUUGUCUGAUUAAUUCCGAUAACGAACGAGACUCAAAUAUAUUAUAGGUUUACACUUAACGCUGACCGACUUCGAAGGUCUGAACUUCACCUUGGACGUAGGGACACAUUCAAUUAUGGUAAGAUAUGGAACCAUAAUUAGAAACGAUUUUCUUCUUUCUUCACAAGAAACACUAGAGAGAAAAACGAGGCCGGAAAAUUCAAGAAACGAAUAACUCAUGAACUGAACGUUGUGG
rnacentral:ncRNA from 1 species